AUUGAACGCUGGCGGAAUGCUUUACACAUGCAAGUCGAGCGGCAGCGCGGGGGCAACCCUGGCGGCGAGCGGCGAACGGGUGAGUAAUACAUCGGAACGUGUCCUUGAGUGGGGGAUAGCUCGGCGAAAGCCGGAUUAAUACCGCAUAAGCUCUGAGGAGGAAAGCGGGGGAUUCGCAAGGACCUCGCGCUGUUGGAGCGGCCGAUGUCGGAUUAGCUAGUUGGUGGGGUAAAGGCCCACCAAGGCGACGAUCCGUAGCUGGUCUGAGAGGAUGAUCAGCCACACUGGAACUGAGACACGGUCCAGACUCCUACGGGAGGCAGCAGUGGGGAAUUUUGGACAAUGGGGGCAACCCUGAUCCAGCCAUUCCGCGUGAGUGAAGAAGGCC
rnacentral:rRNA from 1 species